CCCUACGGGAGGCAGCAGUGGGGAAUAUUGGACAAUGGGGGCAACCCUGAUCCAGCAAUGCCGCGUGUGUGAAGAAGGCCUGCGGGUUGUAAAGCACUUUCAGUAGAGAAGAAAAGCUCAUGGUUAAUACCCGUGGGUCUUGACGUAACCUACAGAAGAAGCACCGGCUAACUCCGUGCCAGCAGCCGCGGUAAUACGGAGGGUGCGAGCGUUAAUCGGAAUUACUGGGCGUAAAGCGCGCGUAGGCGGUUUGGUCAGUCGGAUGUGAAAGCCCUGGGCUCAACCUGGGAAUGGCAUUCGAUACUGCCUGACUAGAGUAUGGUAGAGGGAAGUGGAAUUUCCGGUGUAGCGGUGAAAUGCGUAGAUAUCGGAAGGAACACCAGUGGCGAAGGCGACUUCCUGGGCCAAUACUGACGCUAAGGUGCGAAAGCGUGGGGAGCAAGCAGGAUUAGAUACCCUGGUAGUCCACGCCGUAAACGAUGAGAACUAGAUGUCGGGAGGGUUGCCUUUCGGUGUCGCAGCUAACGCGUUAAGUUCUCCGCCUGGGGAGUACGCCGGCAACGGUAAAACUCAAAGGAAUUGACGG
rnacentral:rRNA from 1 species